ensembl:misc_RNA Metazoa_SRP Metazoan signal recognition particle RNA
GCCGGGCGUGGUGGCGCGUGCCUGUAGUCCCAGCUACUCAGGAGGCUGAGGUGGGAGGAUCGCUUGAGCCCAGGAGUUCUGGGCUGUAGUGCGCUAUGCCGAUCGGGUGUCUGCACUAAGGUCGGCAUCAAUAUGGUGACCUCCCGGGAGUGGGGGACCACCAGGUUGCCUAAGAAGGGGUGAACUGGCCCAGGUCAGACACGGAGCAGGUCAAAACUCCCAUACUGAUCAGUAGUGGGAUCACGGCUGUGAAUAGCCACUGCACUCCAGCCUGGGCAACAUAGCAAGACCCCGUCUCUU